ACCUCCGUGGUUUAGUAGGUAAAAUACUCGACUAUGUUGCGGUAUGAUUCGGGUUCGAGCCCCGGUGAAGGCA